rnacentral:rRNA from 1 species
GACGAACGCUGGCGGCGUGCUUAACACAUGCAAGUCGAACGGAAAGGCCUCUUUCGGGGGGUACUCGAGUGGCGAACGGGUGAGUAACACGUGAGUAACCUGCCCUUGACUUUGGGAUAACUUCAGGAAACUGGGGCUAAUACCGGAUAGGAGCUCCUGCUGCAUGGUGGGGGUUGGAAAGUUUCGGCGGUUGGGGAUGGACUCGCGGCUUAUCAGCUUGUUGGUGGGGUAGUGGCUUACCAAGGCUUUGACGGGUAGCCGGCCUGAGAGGGUGACCGGCCACAGUGGGACUGAGAUACGGCCCAGACUCCUACGGGAGGCAGCAGUGGGGAAGAUUGCACAAUGGGUGGAAGCCUGAUGCAGCAACGCCGUGUGCGGGAUGACGGCCUUCGGGUUGUAAACCGCUUUCGCUCAUGACGAAGCUUUGUGUGACGGUAGUGGGUAAAGAAGCACCGGCUAACUACGUG